GUUGUGGCUCAGUGGUAGAGCACUUGCCUAGCAUGUGCGAGGCCCUGGGUUUGAUCCUCAGCACAACA
rnacentral:tRNA from 1 species